rnacentral:lncRNA from 1 species
UAUUUUAUAGGUAUCUCGAACCUGUGAGUCCUGGGAUGUCUGAUAGCUCCCAACAAGCUGUCACUAACAAGUUCCUUAAAUCUUCAGAUUUCAACGCCAGGGAAUUUUGCUAAAGCUUGCAUCCUUGAAUACACAAACUUUUGCAGGAUGAGAAUACCUUCAAGCUUUGAAUGUCAUGUAGCUUUUUCACAGUGGUUGAUGUUUCAACCUUUGUUUUCAAGCACAAUAGAUCCGAUAAUCUUCCAAGGGAAGUGCAACCAUGAAUAUCCAAUAUUACCCCAAAAAAAUCCAGCCCGUCAAGGCCACGUUUCAACAUGAAACCCUCAAGAUUCUGAAGUUCAGCUCUAUUUGCAGUUCCAAUAUCAUGAAGAUCAAGAUAAUUAGAAAAAUUAUAACACAACAGGAGACAAAAACUUGCAUAUUGGAAAGUCAAAAUAGAGCAUCAGUAGAACAAAUCCUUAUUGGCAUAGCAAAAAAAACCCCACCAUUGGAAUGACAAAUAAGCAAAAGAGUAAAUCACGCGGUGACCGGAAAAACACUGAAUCUUUAUAGGAUCAAACUCAACACAUAAAUGGCUGAUUGAGAACUUGAAAUGACAGCGAAACUAUGAAAUCAC